CGGGUGGUAAUGCCGGAUGCUCCGGUUGGAUGCAUGUCCUUCCGGGAAAGGUUCCAUCGGUAUGGGAUGGGGUCGCGUCCUAUCAGCUUGAUGGCGGGGUAACGGCCCACCAUGGCUUCGACGGGUAGCCGGCCUGAGAGGGCGACCGGCCACAUUGGGACUGAGAUACGGCCCAGACUCCUACGGGAGGCAGCAGUGGGGAAUAUUGCACAAUGGGCGCAAGCCUGAUGCAGCGACGCCGCGUGCGGGAUGGAGGCCUUCGGGUUGUAAACCGCUUUUGAUCGGGAGCAAGCCCUUCGGGGUGAGUGUACCUUUCGAAUAAGCACCGGCUAACUACGUGCCAGCAGCCGCGGUAAUACGUAGGGUGCAAGCGUUAUCCGGAAUUAUUGGGCGUAAAGGGCUCGUAGGCGGUUCGUCGCGUCCGGUGUGAAAGCCCAUCGCUUAACGGUGGGUCUGCGCCGGGUACGGGCGGGCUGGAGUGCGGUAGGGGAGACUGGAAUUCCCGGUGUAACGGUGGAAUGUGUA
rnacentral:rRNA from 1 species